AGUAAAGUCAGCUAAAUAAGCUCUUGGGCCCAUACCCCAAAAAUGUUGGUCAACCCCCUCCUUUACUA
rnacentral:tRNA from 1 species